rnacentral:rRNA from 1 species
CGGAGAGGGAGCAUGAGACACUGCUACCACAUCCAAGGAAGGCAGCAGGCGCGCAAAUUACCCAAUCCCGACACGGGGAGGUAGUGACAAUAUGUAACAAUAUACGGCUUUAUUGUCGUAUAAUUGGAAUGAGUACGAUUUAAAUCCCUUAACGAGGAACAAUUGGAGGGCAAGUCUGGUGCCAGCAGCCGCGGUAAUUCCAGCUCCAAUAGCGUAUAUUAAAGUUGUUGCAGUUAAAAAGCUCGUAGUUGGACCUUGGGCCUGGACAGGCGGUCCGCCUCACGGCGUGUACUGUCUUGCUGGGCCUUUCCUCUUGGUGAUCUGUGGUUUCGGCCGCAGGGAACCAGGACCUUUACUUUGAAAAAAUUGGAGUGUCCAAAGCAGGCUUUACGCCAGAAUAUAUUAGCAUGGAAUAAUAAAAUAGGACGUGCGGUUCUAUUUUGUUGGUUUUUGGGAUCGCCGUAAUGAUUAAUAGGGACAGUCGGGGGCAUUAGUACUCACAUGCUAAAGGUGAAAUUCUUGGAUUUUGUGAGGACUAACUUCUGCGAAAGCAUUUGCCAGGGAGGUUUUCAUUAAUC